GGUGGAUUUGGGUGCAGUGCAUGGAUGGAUUGGUCUGGUAUGGAAUUUCCUCGCUAGUAAAUCUGCCAUUACACCAGUAGUGGCAGGGAUUUACUGUGAGGGAAUGAGGAUGUCACAUACUUAUUCCCUGGAAAAUUUUCCACUUUCUUUCAGGCAGAAAUCUAUCUUAUAUCUAUGUGUGUCAAAAUUGGUCUUGAUAGGAUAUAAAUGUUUUUUAACAUAUCCCUUAUCAAAUAGUCAAGCUUCAUUAAAAUUACUUGAUAGCUCCUGCUUUACUUCAAAGCUUGUGUGGGAAUGUUGUCAUCUCAUUGUGGAACUUACUACCAGGAACCAGAUUCAAGU
rnacentral:lncRNA from 1 species